rnacentral:rRNA from 1 species
ACACCGGCAGCUCAAGUGGUAGCCGCUUUUAUUGGGCCUAAAGCGUCCGUAGCCGGUCUGAUAAGUCUCUGGUGAAAUCCCACAGCUUAACUGUGGGAAUUGCUGGAGAUACUAUCAUGACUCGAGGUCGGGAGAGGCUGGAGGUACUCCCAGGGGAGGGGCGAAAUCCGGUAAUCCUGGGAGGACCACCUGUGGCGAAGGCGUCCAGCUGGAACGAACCUGACGGUGAGGGACGAAAGCCAGGGGCGCGAACCGGAUUAGAUACCCGGGUAGUCCUGGCCGUAAACGAUGUGGACUUGGUGUUGGGAUGGCUUCGAGCUGCCCCAGUGCCGAAGGGAAGCUGUUAAGUCCACCGCCUGGGAAGUACGGCCGCAAGGCUGAAACUUAAAGGAAUUGGCGGGG